rnacentral:miRNA from 1 species
AUAUUUCUUUAUUGGUAUAUAUCUUUAUGUGUGUGUGUGUGUGUGUGUAUAUAUAUAUACACACACA